GAUGAACGCUGGCGGCGUGCCUAAUACAUGCAAGUCGAGCGAACAGAUAAGGAGCUUGCUCCUUUGACGUUAGCGGCGGACGGGUGAGUAACACGUGGGUAACCUACCUAUAAGACUGGGAUAACUUCGGGAAACCGGAGCUAAUACCGGAUAACAUUUGUAACCGCAUGGUUCUAAAGUGAAAGAUGGGUUUGCUAUCACUUAUAGAUGGACUCGCGCCGUAUUAGCUAGUUGGUAAGGUAACGGCUUACCAAGGCGACGAUACGUAGCCGACCUGAGAGGGUGAUCGGCCACACUGGAACUGAGACACGGUCCAGACUCCUACGGGAGGCAGCAGUAGGGAAUCUUCCGCAAUGGGCGAAAGCCUGACGGAGCAACGCCGCGUGAGUGAUGAAGGUUUUCGGCUCGUAAAACUCUGUUAUUAGGGAAGAACAAACGUGUAAGUACCUGUGCACGUCUUGACGUUACCUAAUCAGAAAGCAACGGCUAACUACGUG
rnacentral:rRNA from 1 species